UGGAUCCAGACUUUGAUUCUGGCUCAGGAUGAACGCUAGCUACAGGCUUAACACAUGCAAGUCGAGGGGAAACGAUAGAGAAAGCUUGCUUUUUCUAGGCGUCGACCGGCGCACGGGUGAGUAACGCGUAUCCAACCUGCCCACCACUUGGGGAUAACCUUGCGAAAGUAAGACUAAUACCCAAUGAUAUCUCAAGAAGACAUCUGAAAGAGAUUAAAGAUUUAUCGGUGAUGGAUGGGGAUGCGUCUGAUCAGCUUGUUGGCGGGGUAACGGCCCACCAAGGCGACGAUCAGUAGGGGUUCUGAGAGGAAGGUCCCCCACAUUGGAACUGAGACACGGUCCAAACUCCUACGGGAGGCAGCAGCGAGGAAUAUUGGUCAAUGGGCGAGAGCCUGAACCGGCCAAGUAGCGUGCAGGAUGACGGCCCUAUGGGUUGUAAACUGCUUUUAUAAGGGAAUAAAGCGAGCCUCGUGAGGCUUUUUGCAUGUACCUUAUGAAUAAGGACCGGCUAAUUCCGUGCCAGCAGCCGCGGUAAUACGGAAGGUCCGGGCGUUAUCCGGAUUUAUUGGGUUUAAAGGGAGCGUAGGCCGGAGAUUAAGCGUGUUGUGAAAUGUAGAUGCUCAACAUCUGCACUGCAGCGCGAACUGGUUUCCUUGAGUACGCACAAAGUGGGCGGAAUUCAUGGUGUAGCGGUGAAAUGCUUAGAUAUCACGAAGAACUCCGAUUGCGAAGGCAGCUCACUGGAGCGCAACUGACGCUGAAGCUCGAAAGUGCGGGUAUCGAACAGGAUUAGAUACCCUGGUAGUCCGCACGGUAAACGAUGGAUGCCCGCUGUUGGUCUGAAUAGGUCAGCGGCCAAGCGAAAGCAUUAAGCAUCCCACCUGGGGAGUACGCCGGCAACGGUGCAACAAAAGGGAAUUGACGGA
rnacentral:rRNA from 1 species